rnacentral:rRNA from 1 species
AUUGAACGCUGGCGGCAGGCCUAACACAUGCAAGUCGAACGGCAGCGGGGGGUAGCUUGCUACCUCGCCGGCGAGUGGCGGACGGGUGAGUAAUGCCUGGGGAGCUGCCCAGUCGAGGGGGAUACCAGUUGGAAACGACUGCUAAUACCGCAUACGCCCUGAGGGGGAAAGAUGGGGAUCUUCGGACCUAUCGCGAUUGGAUGCACCCAGGUGGGAUUAGCUAGUUGGUGAGGUAACGGCUCACCAAGGUCGACGAUCUCUAGCUGGUCUGAGAGGAUGACCAGCCACACUGGAACUGAGACACGGUCCAGACUCCUACGGGAGGCAGCAGUGGGGAAUAUUGCACAAUGGGGGAAACCCUGAUGCAGCCAUGCCGCGUGUGUGAAGAAGGCCUCGGGUUGUAAGACGACUUUCAGCGGGAGGAGGGA